UACGGGGGGGGCAAGCGUUGUUCGGAAUUACUGGGCGUAAAGGGCUCGUAGGUGGCCAACUAAGUCAGACGUGAAAUCCCUCAGCUUAACUGGGGAACUGCGUCUGAUACUGGAUGGCUUGAGUUUGGGAGAGGGAUGCGGAAUUCCAGGUGUAGCGGUGAAAUGCGCAGAUAUCAGGAGGAACACCAGUGGCGAAGGCGGCUCUCUGGGCCUUUCCUGACGCUGAGACGCGAAAGCGUGGGGAGCGAACCGG
rnacentral:rRNA from 1 species